UACGAAGGGGGCUAGCGUUGCUCGGAAUCACUGGGCGUAAAGGGCGCGUAGGCGGCCGAUCAAGUCGGGGGUGAAAGCCUGUGGCUCAACCACAGAAUUGCCUUCGAUACUGUCGAGCUUGAGACCGGAAGAGGUAAGUGGAACUGCGAGUGUAGAGGUGAAAUUCGUAGAUAUUCGCAAGAACACUAGUGGCGAAGGCGGCUUACUGGUCCGGUUCUGACGCUGAGGCGCGAAAGCGUGGGGAGCAAACAGG
rnacentral:rRNA from 1 species